GGAAGGGAACAGCCAAGAUGGCGGCCGGGUGGUGAAAGGCGCGCAUUGCAGGCGGACUGGAAAAUUCCCCGCAUUGCCCUCAAUGGAGAGGGAGGAGGAGGAGGAGGAGGAGGAAGGCCUCUCCAUGGAAUAUUCUUCAAAUACCCUAUAUACUCGAAUAUAAGCCGACCCGAAUAUGAACCGAGGCAGCUAAUUUUACCACAAAAAAACUGGGAAAUCAUUGACUCCAGUAUAAGCAGAGUGUGGGUAAUAUCAGAAAUAAAAAUAGAUACCAAUAAAAUUACAUUACCGUAUCUACUCGAGUAUAAGCCGACCCGAAUAUAAGCCGAGGCACCUAAUUUCACCACAAAUAACUGGGAAAUCAUUCACUCCAGUAUAAGCUGAGAGUGGGAAAUUUCAGAAAUAAAAAUAGAUACCAAUAAAAUUACAUUGUGGGCGAAACGUCAGGAGAGAAUGCUUCUGGAAACCAAUUAUUAUUUCUAACAUUGUACUAUAUUAAUAAUAUACCACAAUAUCUAUAAUACACCACUAGUAUAUUAUAUUAUUAGUAUUAUGUAACAUACGAGUGCUAAAUGAUAAGUUGCAUAAGAGAUGUGGGCGAAACGUCAGGAGAGAAUGCUUCUGGAAAACCCAUUAUUCUUAGAUUGUACUAUAUUACUCAUAUACCACAAUAUCUAUAAUAGACCACUAGUAUGUUAUAUUAUUAGUAUUAUGUCACAUACUAGUGCUAAAUGAUAAGUUGCAUAAGAGAUGUGUGCGAAACGUCAGGAGAGAAUGCUUCUGGAAAACCAAUUAUUAUUUCUUACAUUGUACUAUAUUAAUCAUAUACCACAAUAUGUAUAAUACACCACUAGCAUGUUAUAUUAUUCGUAUUCUGUCACAUACCAGUGCUAAAUGAUAAGUUGCAUAAGAGAUGUGGGCGAAAUGUCAGGAGAGAAUGCUUCUGGAAAACCAAUUAUUAUUUCUUAGACUGUACUAUAUUAAUCAUAUACCACAAUAUGUAUAAUACACCACUAGCAUGUUAUAUUAUUCGUAUUCUGUCACAUACCAGUGCUAAAUGAUAAGUUGCAUAAGAGAUGUGGGCGAAACGUCAGGAGAGAAUGCUUCUGGAAAACCAAUUAUUAUUUCUUACAUUGUACUAUAUUAAUCAUAUACCACAAUGUAUAUAAUACACCCAUAGUAUAUUAUAUUAUUAGUAUUACAUAAUAUAACUAGUGCUAAAUGAUAAGUUGCAUAAGAGAUGUGGGCGAAAUGUCAGGAGAGAAUGCUUCUGGAAAACCAAUUAUUAUUUCUUACAUUGUACUAUAUUAAUCAUAUACCACAAUAUGUAUAAUACACCACUAGCAUGUUAUAUUAUUCGUAUUCUGUCACAUACCAGUGCUAAAUGAUAAGUUGCAUAAGAGAUGUGGGCAAAACGUCAGGAGAGAAUGCUUCUGGAAAAUCAAUUAUUAUUUCUUACAUUGUACUAUAUUAAUCAUAUACCACAAUAUGUAUAAUACACCACUAGCAUGUUAUAUUAUUCGUAUUCUGUCACAUACCAGUGCUAAAUGAUAAGUUGCAUAAGAGAUGUGGGCGAAAUGUCAGGAGAGAAUGCUUCUGGAAAACCAAUUAUUAUUUCUUACAUUGUACUAUAUUAAUCAUAUACCACAAUAUGUAUAAUAUACCACUAGCAUGUUAUAUUAUUCGUAUUCUGUCACAUACCAGUGCUAAAUGAUAAGUUGCAUAAGAGAUGUGGGCGAAAUGUCAGGAGAGAAUGCUUCUGGAAAACCAAUUAUUAUUUCUUAGAUUGUACUAUAUUAAUCAUAUACCACAAUAUGUAUAAUAUACCACUAGCAUGUUAUAUUAUUCGUAUUCUGUCACAUACCAGUGCUAAAUGAUAAGUUGCAUAAGAGAUGUGGGCGAAAUGUCAGGAGAGAAUGCUUCUGGAAAACCAAUUAUUAUUUCUUACAUUGUACUAUAUUAAUCAUAUACCACAAUAUGUAUAAUAUACCACUAGCAUGUUAUAUUAUUCGUAUUCUGUCACAUAACAGUGCUAAAUGAUAAGUUGCAUAAGAGAUGUGGGCGAAAUGUCAGGAGAGAAUGCUUCUGGAAAACCAAUUAUUAUUUCUUACAUUGUACUAUAUUAAUCAUAUACCACAAUAUGUAUAAUACACCACUAGCAUGUUAUAUUAUUCGUAUUCUGUCACAUACCAGUGCUAAAUUAUAAGUUGCAUAAGAGAUGUGGGCGAAAUGUCAGGAGAGAAUGCUUCUGGAAAACCAAUUAUUAUUUCUUACAUUGUACUAUAUUAAUCAUAUACCACAAUAUGUAUAAUACACCACUAGCAUGUUAUAUUAUUCGUAUUCUGUCACAUACCAGUGCUAAAUUAUAAGUUGCAUAAGAGAUGUGGGCGAAAUGUCAGGAGAGAAUGCUUCUGGAAAACCAAUUAUUAUUUCUUACAUUGUACUAUAUUAAUCAUAUACCACAAUAUGUAUAAUACACCACUAGCAUGUUAUAUUAUUCGUAUUCUGUCACAUACCAGUGCUAAAUUAUAAGUUGCAUAAGAGAUGUGGGCGAAAUGUCAGGAGAGAAUGCUUCUGGAAAACCAAUUAUUAUUUCUUACAUUGUACUAUAUUAAUCAUAUACCACAAUAUGUAUAAUACACCACUAGCAUGUUAUAUUAUUCGUAUUCUGUCACAUACCAGUGCUAAAUUAUAAGUUGCAUAAGAGAUGUGGGCGAAAUGUCAGGAGAGAAUGCUUCUGGAAAACCAAUUAUUUCUUACAUUGUACUAUAUUAAUCAUAUACCACAAUAUGUAUAAUACACCACUAGCAUGUUAUAUUAUUCGUAUUCUGUCACAUACCAGUGCUAAAUUAUAAGUUGCAUAAGAGAUGUGGGCGAAAUGUCAGGAGAGAAUGCUUCUGGAAAACCAAUUAUUAUUUCUUACAUUGUACUAUAUUAAUCAUAUACCACAAUAUGUAUAAUAUACCACUAGCAUGUUAUAUUAUUCGUAUUCUGUCACAUACCAGUGCUAAAUGAUAAGUUGCAUAAGAGAUGUGGGCGAAAUGUCAGGAGAGAAUGCUUCUGGAAAACCAAUUAUUAUUUCUUAGAUUGUACCAUAUUAAUCAUAUACCAGAAUAUCUAUAAUACACCACUAGCAUGUUAUAUUAUUCGUAUUCUGUCACAUACCAGUGCUAAAUGAUAAGUUGCAUAAGAGAUGUGGGCGAAAUGUCAGGAGAGAAUGCUUCUGGAAAACCAAUUAUUAUUUCUUACAUUGUACUAUAUUAAUCAUAUACCACAAUAUCUAUAAUACACCACUAGCAUGUUAUAUUAUUCGUAUUCUGUCACAUACCAGUGCUAAAUGAUAAGUUGCAUAAGAGAGUGGGCGAAACGUCAGGAGAGAAUGCUUCUGGAAACCAAUUAUUAUUUCUUACAUUGUACUAUGUUAAUCGUAUACCACGAUAUCUAUAAUACACCACUAGCAUGUUAUAUUAUUCGUAUUCUGUCACAUACCAGUGCUAAAUGAUAAGUUGCAUAAGAGAUGUGGGCGAAACGUCAGGAGAGAAUGCUUCUGGAAAACCAAUUAUUUCUUUCCCGCCCAAUUUGACCUGUCUCAGCCUGUGACGUGCGGGAGAAUUGUCCAAUCGGGCGGCGACACAUGGCGAAGGGGUGGGACCAAGGCCAAAAAAGGCGGCCGGAUUGGGAGGCUAACAUAUAUUUUAAAUCACAACGGAGUGCGCAUGCGUCAAGCAGCGCCCUGUUUUCGCGCCCAAAUUGGCGAGCAGGAGAAUCGUCCAAUCGGGCGGCGACACAUGGCGAAGGGGUGGGACCAAGGCCAAAAAGGCGGCCGGACUGGGAGGCUAACAUAGUUUAAAUGACAACGGAGUGCGCAUGCGUCAAGCAGCGCCCAGUUUUCGCGCCAAAAUUGGCGAGCAGGAGAAUCGUCCAAUCGGGCGGCGACAGAUGGCAAAGGGGUGGGACCAAGGCUAAAAAAAAAAAACGGCCGUUUUGGAGGCGGGGCUUCUUCUUGGCUGUAAAUUGUAAAAUUUGCCUCAGACAAUCUCGGGACGCCGAGAGAGAAGGCAGCUUGGCCUGGGAGGCAUUCUGAAGGCCUGGGUCGGAAGAAAGAAAGAAAGAAAGAAAGAAAGAAAGAAAGAAAGAAAGAAAGAAAGAAAGAAAGGGCAGCCGCGGCUAGAAGGCCCGAAGAGACAGGCUCCGUUUCUGAAGCAGAAAUGGCAAAGCCUUGUGAAACGGACGGAAGAAAUAAAGGCAAAAUUUUUGAAAAUUUCCACAGCUUUUUCUGAAGGGACCAGCGCUGAAUUCAAGUCAACGUGAAGAAAGAAACAAAAGGUCGAGAGGACGGAAGAUGCUUGAAGACACCCUCGCAAGGACACCGCCUGCCUCCCAAAAAAGGUCGUUUUCAGGUUAAUUGGUGUAAGGGUAGGCAUUUAAUGUCUAUCUUUGCAUUAAAAAAAGGGUUACCUUUGCACACGGUUCCCCUCGCGGGUGGCAUCGAAGUCCCCCCACUCGGGAACGAACGGGUCCUCCCUUUGUUCUAGGCAGAUGAUGGGUCUUCCUAUACGGGCCGUAGGGGUCACAGCUUGGGGGUCAGCGGGGGGGCCCGCCCUGGCAUCGCGGGGGGCAGCACACGUUACGGGCAUUUUAAGAUGUCCUUGCAACUUAGAAAUAAAAAUAUUAAUACCUUAACUCACUUACUAACAUCCUACUAACACCAUUCUAAAUAGGGUACCCUGGCCUUUUAAAUAGGACUGUUCUGCCUGAUGGCAAGAACCAAGCUGGGAAGGGAGGGGGCCUCCUGGCCCCCCAUAAAAGGGCCCCCAUGGAAGGACAUUGCAAAAGGCCCCUAAGGUGUCCUGAGAGCAGCCUCUUGGUCCUCAGUGUUCCCCACGGUGCCAGGGCUGGGCCCCUCGCUCUCCCCCAACCCAUGGACCCUGCCGCUUGUAUAUCAUCCGCCCAGGGCCAACGGACGCCCCCUCCCUCCCCGGGCGGAGCUUCGAGGCCACACUCAAGGGGAGACCAGAGCCGUGUGCUUCAUGCCAACGCCUAGCACGUGGCGAACCUUUUUUUUUACUGCAAACAUAGGCAUCAUGAUUGUGAUUUUUGUUAAUUCCUUUUAAAUUUAAUUGUUUGUAUUUGAUAGCAUGAUAGGCUGGUUUUAUAUCAGUGAGCCGCCCCGAGUCCCUCUGGGGAGACUGUGGCAGGGUAGAAAAAUAAAAUUAUUAUUAUUAUUAUUGAUUCGAGGCACCUGGAAAAAGAAAUACCAGGAAGCAGAUAAAAUUAUUAUUAUUAUUGAUUCGAGGCACCUGGAAAAAGAAAUACCAGGAAGCAGAUAAAAUUUUUAUUAUUAUUAUUAUUAUUAUUGAUUCGAGGCACCUGGAAAAAGAAAUACCAGGAAGCAGAUAAAAUUAUUAUUAUUAUUAUUAUUGAUUACAGGCACCUGGAAAAAGAAAUACCAGGAAGCAGAUAAAAUUAUUAUUAUGAUGAUUAUUAUUAUUAUUGAUUCCAGGAAAAAGAUAUACCAGGAAGCAGAUAAAAUUAUUAUUGUUAUUGUUCUUGUUGUUGUUAUUAUGUAGGACCCCCUUUUAUUUAUGUAAGGCCACACACCCAGGGGACCACUAUUCCUAAUUAAAGCCUGGUUAAAGGGGAUCCUCUAUUCUUAAAGUUAGGCGUAUAGAGAUCUCCUAUCCAGAAACUAAUGCGGCCUGCCCUAUAGAGAUCUGUUAAACCAAGGCGGCCUGCCCUAUAGAGAUCUCCUAUUUCACGUAACACCAGGCAAUAUGGAGAUCCCUGGUUUUUUUAACCUUUAAGUCCCUUACGUGGGGAUAUCCCUGGUUAUUUUAACCUUUAAGUCCCUUACGUGGGGAUAUCCCUGGUUAUUUUAACCUUUAAGUCCCUUACGUGGGGAUAUCCCUGGUUAUUUUAACCUUUAAGUCCCUUACGUGGGGAUAUCCCUGGUUAUUUUAACCUUUAAGUCCCUUACGUGGGGAUAUCCCUGGUUAUUUUAACCUUUAAGUCCCUUACGUGGGGAUAUCCCUGGUUAUUUUAACCUUUAAGUCCCUUACGUGGGGAUAUCCCUGGUUAUUUUAACCUUUAAGUCCCUUACGUGGGGAUAUCCCUGGUUAUUUUAACCUUUAAGUCCCUUACGUGGGGAAAUCCCUGGUUUUUAUAACCGUUAAAUCCCAUACAUGGGGAUAUCCCUGGUUAUUUUAACCUUUAAGUCCCUUUCGUGGGGAUAUCCCUGGUUAUUUUAACCUUUAAGUCCCUUACGUGGGGAAAUCCCUGGUUUUUUUAACCUUUAAGGCCAGAUGUGGGGAUUUCCUUGCUUCUUUUAACCCGUAAGGCCAGCCAUGGGGAGAUAUCUUAGGCUGUUUUCACGAAAAGUCAGGUAUAGACGCACUGUUUUCUCUCCCGUUCCAUGUGCCUGGACUCCCGGAGGGCUCCUGCCGGACACCGUCUCCCAUCGGCCGAGAGGGAUCCUUCCUGUCUGGGAAGGAUCUGCAACACAGGUAAAAAGAAGAUUCCGGGAAGGAGAUUCUACAGCGGAGCCCUUAAGCCAGGUGAGACACUCCUUCCAGCCUCCACGGCUGCCUUGCGCACACACACACACACACGACACACACAAACACACAUGACACACACAAACACACAUGACACACACAAACACAUACACAUGUACAGCUGGUGCCCACGGGGACUCUUCCCCAAUAGAUCGGGGACUCCCACUCCGGCGAUUGGCCAUUGUAAAUGCCUUGAAGCAGUUUGGGGCUUCCGGCCAAGCGCUUGCAAAGAGAAUCCAUUCAAGGUUGGACCCCUUUUAAAGGGCCUGGCACGUGGUAUUUAUUCCUGGCACGUGGAAAACUCCAUUUGUAAGGCAAACCCUCGUUAAAGGAGGUUUGCAAUUAGUUUAAAACCAGGCUUCUGAGGGACCCGCUGCGUUUAAAGCCAAACCUAGCAGGUGGGAACCCCUUGGUUAACGUAAGGCAAGGGACCCUCCCUAUUUAAUAAGAUGCCUGGCAGAAUCUUAACCUAAAUGCAGGCCUAUGGGCUACAGCCUAUUCUGCAUAGCCAGGCAUGGGGGGACCCCAGAUUAUUAACUUGAAGCCUGGGAAAAGGAGAUUUUUGUAUUUAUUUAUUUAUUUAUUUAUUACAAGAUUUAUAUCCGGCCCUCUCUCCCCUUAAAAGGGGACUCAGAGCGGCUUACAAGUGAUAUUUACAUAUUUAUUACAAUAUUUAUAUCCCACCCUCUAUCCUUAAAAGGGGACUCAGAGCGGCUUACAAGUGAUAUUUACAUAUUUAUUUAUUACAAUAUUUAUAUCCCACCCUCUAUCCUUAAAAGGGGACUCAGAGCGGCUUACAAGUGAUAUUUACAUAUUUAUUUAUUACAAUAUUUAUAUCCCGCCCUCUCUCUCCUUAAAAGGGGACUCAGAGCGGCUUACAAGUGAUAUUUACAUAUUUAUUUAUUACAAUAUUUAUAUCCCGCCCUCUCUCCCCUUAAAAGGGGACUCAGAGCGGCUUACAAGUGAUAUUUACAUAUUUAUUUAUUACAAUAUUUAUAUCCCACCCUCUAUCCUUAAAAGGGGACUCAGAGCGGCUUACAAGUGAUAUUUACAUAUUUAUUUAUUACAAUAUUUAUAUCCCGCCCUCUCUCUCCUUAAAAGGGGACUCAGAGCGGCUUACAAGUGAUAUUUACAUAUUUAUUUAUUACAAUAUUUAUAUCCCGCCCUCUCUCUCCUUAAAAGGGGACUCAGAGUGGCUUACAAGUUAUAUUUACAUAUUUAUUUAUUACAAUAUUUAUAUCCCGCCCUUCUCACCCAACAGCGGACUCAGGGCGGCUCAACAAUAACUCCCAUAUAUAAAAACCACACAGUGCAAUAUAAAUCAUCACUAACUUACAUCAGUAUUCAUAAAACACAUUAUAAAAUACAGAUAGGUGUGUUCAGUUCAAAUCCAUUCAAGGUAUACGUGGACCCCCUUUUAAUGCCAACCUUUCCACGUGGAAAACUAUUUGUAAGGCAAACCCUCGUUAAAGGAGGUUUGCAAUUAAUUUAAAACCAGGCUUCUGAGGGAUCCGCUGCGUUUAAAGCCAAACCUAGCAGGUGGGAACCCCUUUGGUUAACGCAAGGUGAGGGACCCUCCAUUUUUAAUAGGAUGCCUGGGAGAAUCUUAACCUAAAAGCAGGCCUAUGGGCUACAGCCUAUUCUGCAUAGCCAGGCAUGGGGGGACCCCAUAUGAUUAAUUUGAAGCCUGGUAAAAGGAGAUUUUUGUAUUUAUUACAUUUAUAUCCCGCCCUCUCUCCCCUUAAAGGGGACUCAGGGCAGCUUAACAAUAAGACGCAUAUAUAAAAAACCAUACAGUGCAAUGUAAGUCAUCAUUAACUUACAUCAGUAUUCAUAAAACACAUCAUAAAAUACAGAUAGGUGUAUUACAUACACUGUAUCAUUAGCAUCGCACAAUAUUAGCAUUAUAUAUUACUACACUGCAUUAUACCACUAUACAGAAAUGUUAUUAGCAAUAUUACAUUUAAUAUAUUAUAUGUAAUUCAUAUUAUUAUAUUGUAUCAUUGUUAGUAUUAUAUUGCAUUAUUUAUUUAUUUGCUAGAUGUAUAUGCUGCCCUUCUCACCCCCAAGGUGAACAGCUUACAAAAUAAAUUUACAUACAAUAUUAUAUUAUUACCAUAGUACAAUACUGGCAGUAAAUUACUAUAUUGUACUAUAUGAAUAUAUGGUAAUGUUAUUAGUAGUAUUACAUGCAAAAUGUAAUACAUAAUUAAUAUUAUUAUAUUUUAUUAUUAGUAUAUCGUAUUACAAUAUAAUAAUAUGAACAUUAUAUGUAUAUGCAAUAUGUUAUAAUUAUAUAUUAAAUUAUAUAUACACACACACACAGUAGUCAUCCAACAUAAAAGGGCCAGCGAAUAUUUAUUUAUUUAUUUACAGCAUUUUACCGGGCUGGCCUCAAACUCAUGACCUCCUGGUCAGAGUGAUUUGUUGAUAUUUAUUUAUUUACAGCAUUUAUAUUCCGCCCUUCUUUCUCACCCCGAAGGGGACUCAGGGCGGAUCACAUGACACAUAUAGGCAAACAUUCAAUGCCUUUUAACAUAGAACAAAGACAAACAAACAGGCUCCGAGCGGGCCUCGAACUCGUGACCUCCUGGUCAGAGUGAUUCAUUGCAGUUAAUUGCAGCUGGCUUGCUUUCCAGCCUGCGCUGUUGGAUAAUAAGGAGGCAUUAUGGAAAAGCCUAUUAAACAUCAAAUUAGUUGAUGAUUUUACAAAUUAAGCACCAAAACAUCAUUUGACAGAAAAAGUAGUUCAAUACGCAGUAAUGCUAUGUAGUAAUUACUGUAUUUACGGAUUUAGCACCAAAAUAUCACAACGCAUUGAAAACAUGGACUACAAAAAUGCGUUGGAUAAUCCAGAAUGUUGGAUAAUCCAGAAUGUUGGAUGAGACUACUGUAUAUACAAUAUAAAUUAGAAUAGCAUGUUAUUGGGGGAGGAGCAUCUUGGUUAUUAGAUGUUUAUAUUAGUUAUUGAUAUUAGUAUAGAUAUGACAUUGAGUAUAUUAUUAUCCUAGCACAAUGUUAAUAUUAGUUAUUCAUAUUAGUCUCAAUAUGACAUUAAUAGUAUAUUAUUAUCCUAGCACAAUGUUAUUACAUAGGACUAUGUUGUUGCUAGGGGGAGGGCCCUCCCACUGAGAUCCCCUGUCAUUAAUGUGUCAGACCAGGCAUUUCACUCCUACCUUUGCAUCAGAAAGCAGGCUCCCUGUGCGCUAGGCCUUCCUUUGAGGAACACAUUCACGGCUCCGCUUGAGUGUGGCAUUGAGGCCCCACUCUGGGACGGGCGGGUCCUCCUUUGCCCUGUGCAGAUCGUGGGGGGGGGGGGGCGGAUCUCCCUAGACGGGCAGGGGGUUGCGGCUGGCGGGACAGCGGGAUAUAAAAAUAUAAAUAUAUAUAUUAAAACCCUUGCACCCAAGGAAACAACUCUGGGGACCCGAGCGGCCGCUCCCAGCGCACGUCACGGGCAUUUUAAACAUCUCGUAGCAGCUCAGAUUAAUACCUAAACUAACCUUAACCUGCUAACCCUACUAACCCAAUUCUUAACUAGAGCAGCACUUGUAAAUAGGGCUGUUUUUGCCUGUUGGCAAGAACCAAGUUGGGAGGGGGCCUCUGGGCCUCGGGUGGGAAGAAGGCCCCCCUGUCCCUGCCCUGCGCUGGGAGCGCCCCCCCUCGGGACCCCAGUGUUUAGGUCGCCGGAUUGGAGGAGAGCGGGGACCAGAAAGCCCCUCCGCCAUCCGCCCAGGGCCAAUGGACACCCCUCCCUCCCUCCCCGGCAGCCGCGUUCCUCAUGCAACAGGGAGCCUGGUUCUGGAUGCAAACGUGGGACCCCCUUAGGACCCCCUUUUCUCUGUGCAGGGACCCCCACUCCCCAUAAAUAAAUGCCUGGUGGAAGGGGAUCCUCUGUCCUGGGGAGAAAAAGCGACAUGCGUCAAGCUGUGGCUUUGCUCCCGCAGUUCCCAAGAGCCCCCAAAAGCGAGAUGCUCCCUUGGUUCUGCCCUUCUGACACUUGUUUUCUCCCUUGUUCCAUGUCUCCGGAAUCGCCGAGGGAGGGAGGGGCAGAGGGGCUCCUCCUGGACAAGAGCCACGGACGGACGGACGGACGGACAGACGGACGGAGAUCACGGAGAGCAGGACGCCUUGCCUUUCCGGAUGCUGAGCUCGACCCCUUUCCAACAAUGUCAGCGUUUAAGAAUAAAACUUCCCAAAAAAAGGUGUUUUCUGGUUAUUAUUCAAACAUUGAAUUUUUGGCAGCCUUAAACAUCUAGAUUACAAUACAGUUUGUGCUGCUGCCUUUUAUAAACCUCGUUUUCUACAAAUAAAGUCAAGAGAAAUACUAUAAGUUUUGCACUGUGCUCAGACUCAUUGUUCUGAUAGGCUGUUAUAUGGUUAUUAUUGAAAGGCAUAAUGAGUUUUUGGCAGCAUGAAACAUCUAGAUUACAAUACACUUUGUGCUGCUGCCUUUUAUAAAUCUUGUUUUCUACAAAUAAAGUUGAGAGAAACACCUGUAUAA